rnacentral:rRNA from 1 species
CAGUAGCCGCGGUAAUACGUAGGUGGCAAGCGUUGUCCGGAUUUAUUGGGCGUAAAGCGAGCGCAGGCGGUUCCUUAAGUCUGAUGUGAAAGCCCCCGGCUCAACCGGGGAGGGUCAUUGGAAACUGGGGAACUUGAGUGCAGAAGAGGAGAGUGGAAUUCCAUGUGUAGCGGUGAAAUGCGUAGAUAUAUGGAGGAACACCAGUGGCGAGGGCGACUCUCUGGUCUGUAACUGACGCUGAGGCUCGAAAGCGUGGGUAGCAAACAGGAUUAGAUACCCCAGUAGUCCCUGUCUCUUAUAC